GGGCUCGUAGCUCAGCUGGUAGAGCGUGCGCUGUACAAAAGCGUAGGCGGCGUCCAUGCUUGGGUUCGAAUCCCACCGAGGCUA
rnacentral:tRNA from 1 species